rnacentral:rRNA from 1 species
GACGAACGCUGGCGGCGUGCUUAACACAUGCAAGUCGAACGGAAAGGCCUUGUCGGAGGUACUUGAGUGGCGAACGGGUGAGUAACACGUGGGUGAGCUGCCCUGCACUCUGGGAGAAGCAUGGGAAAGUGGGUCUAAUACAGGACAGGACCGCACUCUAGCGGGAGGGGGGGAAAGGUUUUUCGGUGUAGGAUGAGGCUGCGGCCGAGCCGCUUGUUGGUGGGGGAAGGGCCUACCAAGGCGUCGGCGGGUAGCCGGACUGGGGGGUUGGGCGGGCCCAGUGGGGCUGGGAUACGGCCCCGACUCCUACGGGAGGCAGCAGUGGGGAAUAUUGCACAAUGGGCGCGAGCCUGAUGCAACGACGCCGCGUGGGGGGUGGCGGCCUUCGGGUUGGAAACUCCUUUCGCCAGGGACGAAGCGUUUUGUGACGGUACCUGGAGAAGAAGCACCGGCUAACUACGUG